rnacentral:rRNA from 1 species
GUAGCUAAUACCGGAUAACAACAGAUGAUGCCUAUCAACUGUUUAAAGAAUGGUUCUGCUAUCACUCUUGGAUGGACCUGCGGUGCAUUAGCUAGUUGGUAGGGUAACGGCCUACCAAGGCGAUGAUGCAUAGCCGAGUUGAGAGACUGAUCGGCCACAUUGGGACUGAGACACGGCCCAAACUCCUACGGGAGGCAGCAGCC